ACUUACGGUCAUAUCACUUUGAAAGCACCGGUUCUCGUCCGAUCGCCGAAGUUAAGCAACGUCGAACCUAGUGAAUACUUAGAUGCGUGACCGCUUGGUAAACCUAGAUGCUGUUGCGUC
rnacentral:rRNA from 1 species